AUCAACACUCAGUGCCUUUCUACUCAUGGCUAGGCAAUGAAUGAGUCACGUUAAAUCAUGAGCCUCUUCAGGUCAGUAGCUAGGGUGUCAGAACACCAAAUCUAACAGUGGUAAAUUUCUUUUCCUCAGCUUGCGCCUGGAAGCCUACACUGAGGUGUGAUUCGAAGCCCUGUGGCCCCUCUCACCCUGCUUAUGUCUCUCCCGACUUUCCAGAUGGUGAUGCAGCCCCACCAGGGUGGAUGAGAAGGGAUUAGGAAGGGAUCAUACAGAACAAAUGUCUUCCAUGUGUGCUCAGCUGGUGGCACUGUUUCAGAAGGCCAUUGAACAUCCAAGAAGUGGAGCCUUGCAGGAGAAAUGGGAUUACUGAGAGAGCCCCGCCCUACUUCCUUCCUAGUCUCUCUGUCCUGCUCAUGAAGAUAUAAGGAAUCAAGGUGUUUGGCUGCACACUUUAUAGCUAUCGGGGAGUCACAUGGUGUACCUUUCCCUACCUGAUUCACCUUUAAGCCUCGGGUCAGACCAAGUCCUUCCUCUUUUAAAUCGAUUCUUUUCAGCCAGGUGGUGGUGGCGGCGGCGGCGGCGGCAGCCACACACACCUUUAAUCCCAACACUCUGGAGGCAGAGGAGGUCAAUCUCUGUGAGUUUGAAGCCAGCCUGGUCUACAGAUCGAGUUCCAAGACAGUUAGGUCUACACAGAGAAACCCUGUCUGGAAAAACCAAACCAAACCAAACUGUGUUGUUUUUUGUCAAGUAUUUGGUCACAGAAACAAGAAAUUAACUAAAACCACAUAUGCGGAUGCAUGUGGGAGGUGGAGCCAGGAUCAGACAACUACAUAUCAAGUUUGAGGUCAGUAGCUGGGCGGUGGUGGCACACACCUUUAAUCCCAAUGAAGGGACCAGCUGCCCCUUUCUGCAGCCAUGACAGUAACAUAUGCUCGCCAUGACCUUGCCUUGGUCACCAAGAGGUCAGAUGCCUGCCUCGUGGCAAGGAACUAAUCAGAAGUUAGCUGGUAGUGCUAUGCUUUACCACCCUGGGUGUACUUUACGGACAAGUGCACAGCAAUGACGCACAGAGCAUAGCAACUACCCUGGGAGGGCCUAUGGGCCAUAACAACCAAUUGACCAAUCAACACAGGGCAAGCCCUCCAAGCCUGGAGGCACACCAAUCCUGAACCUGUGUGUACCCCUAGACACUCCCCUUACGCUGUCCUAUAAGAUCUUUAUGCAGACGCCUCGAGCUGUCUUUGCUAGCCAUCCGCCAUGUCAGGUGGGUGAAAGACCCAAGCUAACAUGGGAUGAGCUCGUUAAACAACAAUAAAGCCUCAUGCUGUUUGCAGCAAGCUUUCGAUUCCGCCUGGUGAUUGGGGUGACCGAGGUCCUGGUUUAAGACCCUGGAAGCCUGAGUUUUCCAGGGGUCUAACACCAACACUUGGGAGGCAGAGGCAGGAGGAGCUCUGUGAGUUCGAGACCAGCCUGGACUACAAGAGCUAGUUCCAGAACAGCCUCCAAAGUCAUAGAGAAACCCUGUCUCAAAAACAAACAAAAGUUUGAGGUCAGCCUGGAAUGUAUGAGAUUUUGUUCCACAAAAGACUGUACAGAUGAUACUGCUUUGCUGGGGGUGGGUGGCACAGGCCUUAAUCCCAGGGCUCAGGAGGCACAGACAGGAGGAUCUCUGUGAGUUCAAGGCCAGCCUGGUCUACAGAGCAAGUUCCAGAACAGGCUCCAAAGCUACAGAGAAACCCUAUCUCAAAAAAAAAAAAAAAAAAUGAUACUGCUUUAAUGCCAUCUUGAUUCAGUCCCUGGAAGGAGAGAACUGACUCUGGCAAUUGCCCCUAAUUGCCACAUGAAGGCCAUGGUGUGAGUGUGCCUGUCCUCACACAUACACACAGAUUAAUAAAAAAAAGUUAAAGAACAAAAAGGGCUGUUAAUACAGGAGCUAGUUUGUUUUUUC
ensembl:lncRNA